rnacentral:rRNA from 1 species
AUGUCUUUAACUGUGUGUACAUAUAUUAAACAGCUUUCCAACUACAACAUGCUUUGCAAGCUGAGUAAAAAGCCAUUCAAGAAUGUAUUCUCUUUCAAGCUUCAACCUAUAGGACCUUACCCAACAAACUAUCUCAUGCAUGACUUAGGCCACUAUCUGCCUUUAUACAUGGAAAAUUUUGAAGGCAAAAUGAUGAAGAGUUUUAGUGUGGACAACAUUCCAAAGUACAGAAUGAUCUCUGCGUUCAAGUCAUUCAAAAGCACCUUGAACAAACUGAAAGAAGAAGAUCUGCCAAGACCAAAUAGACUUUUUCGAAAGAUGCAUCUGCAAACAUUUAUAAUGUGUAAUUGA